UGAACUCAAACUUGUAUGCAGUUGGAACAGCGCCCCUAGCGGCAAACGUAGACAAACGUUCCGACUCCAUACAAAUUUGAGUUA
rnacentral:pre_miRNA from 1 species